rnacentral:rRNA from 1 species
UUUAGAGGAAGGAGAAGUCGUAACAAGGUUUCCGUAGGUGAACCUGCGGAAGGAUCAUUGUCGUACCCUACCACUCGACACACUUGCGAACGGUUGACCCCUGCCAUCCCGAAGGGGGCGGUUUCUCCUCGGGCUCCCGUCUCUCUUCGAGAUGUUUUCCCUGCCUUCGACACGUUUGACCGGUGGGAGCCUCCUGUCGAUCAGGCCGUCGACCGGCGGGACGAAGAACCUUUUCGGCGCGGCAUGCGUCAAGGAAAACGGAAGUGAAGGCUCGCGCGAUGCAUCCGCGUUGUGGAUGCACGCGGUGCUCAUCACCGAAUAUGAAAAUGAGUCUGAACGACUCCCGGCAACGGAUAUCUAGGCUCUCGCAUCGAUGAAGAACGUAGCGAAAUGCGAUACGUGGUGUGAAUUGCAGAAUCCCGUGAACCAUCGAAUCUUUGAACGCAAGUUGCGCCCGAGGCCUCUAGGCCGAGGGCACGCCUGCCUGGGCGUCACGCCCCGCGUCGCUCCCUGACCCCUCCCACAAAGUGCGGGGUGAGGGAUGCGGAGAUUGGCCCACCGUGCACGUGCGCGGCAGGUUGAAGAACUCGGCCCUCCUGCCGGGCGAUUAACGGCGAGUGGUGGACAACGCUCAUCGUCGCCGUGGCACACGCCCGUGUGCAAGGACGGGCUGACCGUGAGGAACUCAGUCAUCAGAGAGAACGGCCAUAUCAUAAGAUGAGGCAGCUCUUCGAUUGCGACCCCAGGUCAGGCGGGGGCCACCCGCUGAG